UACGGAGGGGGCAAGCGUUGUCCGGAUUUAUUGGGCGUAAAGAGCGUGUAGGCGGCUUGGCAAGUCCGCUGUGAAAACUCGAGGCUCAACCUCGAGAGGUCGGUGGAAACUGCCUGGCUAGAGUCCGGAAGAGGAGAGUGGAAUUCCUGGUGUAGCGGUGAAAUGCGCAGAUAUCAGGAAGAACACCCGUGGCUAAGGCGGCUCUCUAGUACGGUACUGACGCUGAGACGCGAAAGCGUGGGGAGCGAACAGG
rnacentral:rRNA from 1 species